AGACUCCACUGCACCUUGGCUGGGGGUCAUGGACUCAAGAGGAGCUAAGAUUCUUCUAGCUUCGUGUCCUGCAUCUGCUGAAGUUGGGAAAGAGUUGGAUUAACUGUCUGAUAUUGGAUAAGUAUAGGGGCUGCUGUCAAUCCUGCCGUAAUAUCCUUUCACUCGCGUACCAGCCAGAUCAGAAUUGCAGCAAGAAGGAGAAAACAGAGGAGGAAAUUGAGGUGAAGCCUGAAGUUAAACAAAAUCCUCCAGAGCCUGUAUCUGAAGCAGGAAAUUCAAACAUUCUAAAGAGUCUGUGGUUCCCUCCCAGCACCAUCCCCACCCAGAAAUCUGGCCAGAUUGUCAAUGGAUACGCCUUCCUGUUUGGUGACCAGUGGGACUUCUUUUUGGUGGUAUUCUGAAAUUGACAGGAUGGGUUGGAAAUAGGUGUCUAUUUCAGGCAAGAAGUAGUAGAGAUAUGAUGGCCCCUCCUGAUGUGGGCAGCCUGAGGAGGGGUGUGACCCGAGGUCCUGACAUCUUUGUCUUCUGGGUCCAGCCUGUUCUCCUCCACCUUGACCCUUGCCGUUCUCCUGCUGAUAAUCCUGAGCCUGGUCCUGGCCCAGUGGCCCAGCCAGCUGUUCUCUGGAGACCCCGUGCUCACAACAGUGGCUGUGCUGCUGCUGUUCAUCACUGGGGUCACAGUCAUCAUCUGGAGGCAGCCCCAGGACCCCACUGCUCUUCCAUUCAGGGUCCCUGCUCUGCCUGUCCUCCCGCUGGUCAGCAUCUUCGUGAACGUUUCCCUGAUGAUGCAGAUGACCUCUGGAGCCUGGAUCCAAUUCAGUGUCUGGAAUGCCAUUGGAUUUGCCAUAUACUUUGGCUAUAGGAUCCGACACAGCCUGGAGGAGAACAAUGAGCAACAGCUUCUAGCCUGCACCUUCCAGACUCCUCACCCAAGCAUCCCUGCUGCUGAAUCAUCUUAACCACAGGACACAGAUGCCAUGUGGAGUCCCUCCAUCCGCUAGAGGAAUCUUCUGGUUCAAGGGGCACUUUGAGCCUCUAUGGACAAUGAAGGUGCAAUGCAUUUAGGGACCUAUAUUUAUUGCCAGUGGACAAAUGACGUACAUGCUGAAUAGUUUUUAAGUUUUCUUUUCAGACCACGAUACACAUACCAAAAGGGCAUGCUUUGUAAGUGUGCAGCAAGAUGAUAUUUCACAAAGAAUGUAUAACAAUGUAAGCAGCUACUG